rnacentral:lncRNA from 1 species
ACACUCUGAGGACCUUUCCUUCCAAGUUGAUAACUCUGGUUCCAUCCCCAUGUAACAACCCUUAAUCCGUCUACACUGUCUGAAGAUGUAUCAUUGCAAAUUGCCAGAGAAUGCCCUAGUCCAGAUGCUAUGUUGACAGGUAUAAAGCUCAUAUCGACAGGAAGCAACCCCAAAUCUUGGUUUACCCUACCUAACUGGCCAUACGCAUUGCUCCCUCCGCUUAAAAGAGUUCCAUCAGCUGCAAAUAGAAAAAUGGAGGGAGAAUUAACUUAUAUUAUAGCAUCAGAAGCAUGCGAAUACUUAUAAGUUAUAACUAUGGCUUACAGUCGAGAACUAGGGAAUGAUCAAGCCCACAUGCCAUAUCUACAAAUUUAACAUCACCUAAUUCUUUAAUUGAAGUAGGUUCCCAAGCAAUUGGCAUGUUCUUUUCCUUCUCAAUUGCUUCGAAGACCAAUCCCUCAGCAGCUCCAGUCAUUGAACCGGAAUUUUCACCACUCGACUCUACUUUAGAAGCAACUGAAUCUAGAGGAGAAGUUUCAAAAAACUCCCCAAUCUUCCCUAAUCUACCAUCUGCAUAAUAACCCCAUCCGAACAACUUCCCAUCUUUAGUCAGUGCCAGAGCAUGUCCCCAACCAAGUGACACCUGCCAUACCAUAUACGUAAAUUUUAUGAUUGCAUCCUAUCAGAAAAAUGACAGAAAACAUGCAAGAGCCCAUGCCCAUAAUCUAUAUUUAAUUUUGUACAAAAAUGACACCAUUAACUACUAAUAUCUUUCUACCUUAACCAUGACAUAGGGACCACCUUAAUUAUAUCUUCUUCAGUAAGAGCUUCAACUCUAGAAGGUAAAACAGCCUCUGUGAUAUCUUUUCCGAGCCCUAGUUGCCCUCGUUUUGACUUUCCCCAUACCCAUAAAGAACCAUCAUCUCCAAUUGCAGCAGAUAUGACACCAGAUGCAAAUGCAGCUCGAACUUUCACUUGACUCAAUCCUUGUACUUUCUGUGGUUCAUUCCAUGUCUCUCUGAAUCAAAUUUAUGGCAUAUAGCAUCAGGGAGUAUGCAAGUUAUGAGAUUAUAGUUUUUUUAAUCAAAUAAUGACACCAAGCACAUUCCACUCCACCACUGAGGUUAAACUCUAAAGAGUCAGAUUGCAAUCAACUCACUACGUAUAUACACUAACAGCUUAUUAAAACAGUUAAUUAUUUAUAGCAUGUUGCUUUUCAAUUCUUGAAUUCAUCAUUUUAGAAUUUAGACGGCCUCCAAUGACCUAGAACUCAAAUCACAAUAGAAGGAGUUCAUCGUCAAAAAUCCAAGUGCCUAAUUUUGAGAGAUUUCUGUAGUAGAUCAUGGUUUAAGCCCUUUCCAUAUUUGGUUGAAUUUCAUGCACGAAUUUGCAUGAAUAAUUUUUCCAUUUUGAAUUGACUACAAAUUUAUGGGAGGUUAAGGUUUGUCCUUAGAAGUUUUAGUUCGAAUUUAAAUUCAAACUAAUUUCUCAAUCACAUUUUCGUGGUCAGCUCAACCCACAGCCGACCUUCUCCAUUUCUCCAAAAAAAUAAAUAAAAUAAAAUCCUUAUAAAGAUGUCAAAUUAUAACAUUUUAGCAGGCGAUUAGCAAUUAGCAAAAGGCAACCAAGUUCAACUCUUCUCAGUUUCCAAUUACUUUCUCAAAUGAGAUUACAAAAAUUAAAAAUGAAAAUCGACAAGGUUCCCAAUAUUACAAAUUAUAACAUCAACCUGAAUAAGUAACAUAAUUUGUCAUCUCAAUUUCCUAAAUAUCCAUAAUUACUUAACAGACUUUAAAUUCAUACUAGGAGGAUCAAGAGAUCAACCUUGGAGAAAGUGAACCCCGGCCAAGCUGUGCCUCGUAGUUACGGCCCCAGGCCCAGACAUGGCCCUCAGAAGUGACGGCGAGGGAGUGAUAGUGGCCGGCGGAUAUGGUGGAGACGUAUGGGGGAAGACCUGAGACUGGAGUGGGCUCAUAGGCGUCGAAGCCCGGACCAGUUUGGGACAUGGGGAGGCCCAAUGCCCCGUGGGAUCCGUCCCCGAAACUCAUCACUGUUGUUUUGUUAGUGGAGGUCAUCCAUCGGCGGGUCAACCUGGUUACGAGACCCCAAAGGAUUCCGGGUCCGGGUCUGUACUUUCUGGUUAGGAAUCGUACCGUCAUACUUCAAGAUUCCGAAAGGUUAGGUUUCAGGCUAAAGUGCCGAAGUGUACUAGAUUUUACAGCUCGCUCGUUCAAUUCCCGUAGGAUAGCAAUUCGAACGAUCGUGUUUAUGGUAUUUAAUUUUAAUAAUACCCAGAUUUGAAGUGGGACAAGUAUGGAGGAUUUAAGGUUACAUCAUUCAGCAAUCAGAACCAGAUUAUGAUCAAAUCCCGCAACAGCUUGCAAAACUUGGGAUCCUUCCAAGCAUUCCACCAACAUCGGUUCGACUUCAUCAGCGGAGCUACCCAAUCCAAGUCUGCCAUUUCUCCCGCAGCCCCACGUCCAAAUCUCGUUUUUAGCAGUUACAGCUAAAGAAUGCACCCGUCCUCCUGAUAAUGAAACAGGUGUCUCACCCGACAACCCCUCAACCACCAGAGGGACACUCUGAGGACCUUUCCUUCCAAGUUGAUAACUCUGGUUCCAUCCCCAUGUAACAACCCUUAAUCCGUCUACACUGUCUGAAGAUGUAUCGUUGCAAAUUGCCAGAGAAUGCCCUAGUCCAGAUGCUAUGUUGACAGGUAUAAAGCUCAUAUCGACAGGAAGCAACCCCAAAUCUUGGUUUACCCUACCUAACUGGCCAUACGCAUUGCUCCCUCCGCUUAAAAGAGUUCCAU